rnacentral:rRNA from 1 species
UACGUAGGGGGCGAGCGUUGUCCGGAUUUAUUGGGCGUAAAGAGCUCGUAGGCGGUUUGGCAAGUCGGGUGUGAAAACUCCGGGCUCAACUCGGAGACGCCACUCGAUACUGCUAUGACUCGAGUCCGGUAGGGGAGUGCGGAAUUCCUGGUGUAGCGGUGAAAUGCGCAGAUAUCAGGAGGAACACCGGUGGCGAAGGCGGCUCUCUGGGCCGGUACUGACGCUGAGGCGCGAAAGCGUGGGGAGCGAACAGG